GGAAAACUUGACACUUAGGCGUCAGCUGAGUGCUCUCCAGAGUUCCCCAUGGGGCCUGAUGCAGGCGCUGGAACAGCAGGUGGGAGAACUGAGGAUCGACACAGACGAUGGCUCUUAUGAUGGCGCUCAAGGAGACACAGGCGACAGUCGGCCGAGUUCUGGUUUCUAUGAGUCGAGUGAGGGUCAGUCGCCAAAAGGAAGGUCUUGUUCCACCGAGCCUGCAGAGACUGUCUCGUCCUGGGCUUACACC